rnacentral:rRNA from 1 species
AGUGAACGCUGGCGGCGUGCCUAAUACAUGCAAGUCGAACGGAGUGGCGCACGGGUGAGUAAUGUAUAGCUAAUCUGCCCUACACUAGAGGACAACAGUUGGAAACGGCUGCUAAUACUCUAUAGUGUAGGAUGAGGCUAUAUUGUAUCAGCGAGUUGGUGAGGGAAUGGCGCACCAAGGCUAUGACGCAUAACUGGUCUGAGAGGAUGAGCAGUCACACCGGAAGUGAGACACGGUCCAGACACCUACGGGAGGAAGCAGUAGGGAAUAUUGCUCAAUGGGCGAAACCCUGAAGCAGCUUCGCCUCGUGGAGGACGAUACGUUUCGGAGAGUAAAUUCCUGUUGUUAGCGAUGCGUUACCCAACGAAUAAGCACCGGCUAACUCCGUGCCAGCAGCCGCGGUAAUUC